UGUAGCCUGACAGCAGGCACCUGGUUUCCUGACCCCAAACCACAUGGCUCCCCAUGUGGCCUCACGAGCAUCUCUGUUACAUGCCCAUUCCUCACACCAGCCUGAGCAGCGGAACGGGCACCAGGGCGAUAGCGGGAGUCCUAGGUGGAGGCUGGUCUGGCAGAAGUAGCUUCUGGAAGAUCUUCAUUAUAACUUUCUAAUGUAUGUCCCAUUCAGUGAGGCUCAUGGAAAGACGUGAAAAUUUGGAGGAAGAUGUAAAACCGAGUGUCUUGAGUAUGUCGGUUGGCGUAAGUACUCUCCGCUGGCGGCCCCACUGGGGAAGCCAAAUGAGAAGUCUGGAGGAAAUGGUUUUAGACAAGAGAGGGAAGACCACCCAUGAGGAUGGAGUCCAUUUCUCACGGUUGAUCCCUAUCUCCUGGCAGCACCACAGGAUCCGCCAUCCCUCUGGAGAGUGAGAGAAUGUUCCAGAACAAUGCAAUGGUGGACCAUAUGUUUCAACAGCUCUGCCACAUGUGAUGGGCCUGCUUCUCCCAGGCAAUACUGAGUGUUAAUAACCCUGACAUGGUUGCUCACUCAUUGAUGAAGGAACUCACUUUGAACAGCAACACAGAGACGCCGGGAGAGUUGACCCUUCUGGAAAAGCAGGAGGGGAAAUCAUCUGUUGGGACUGAAGAGGGAGAGAUGGCAGAAUAUUUGAGGACGAGGAAAACUUGAAGGGACGGUCCCUUGGAUGAAGAGGCAGAGGAGCUGACCCAAAAUGUCUAAGCAGCUGUAUUGCCCAGAGGACAUUGAGGGGGGGCCGGGCAAGAAGCCUAGAUGAACUUCGCAUUGGAAUCACUCGGGUGGGUGUUAACAAUGAGUCAAUAGGUGAGAAAAAGAAACUUCUCGUGCUUGAGUCAUGACUUGGAGCUUUAGAGCGGGGACCGAGAGAAGUAAGUCAAGGAGGAGGGAUGAGAGGGCAGAAAAAAGCCGAAGGGUGAAAAGAUCACAGGUGGUGGCGUGCCUGGUGGCUCAGGUGGUUAGGUGUCUGCCUUGGGCUCAGGUCAUGAUCCCAGGCUCCU